rnacentral:lncRNA from 1 species
GAGAGAGAGAGAGAGAGAGAGAGGAGACGGACGACAGACCGAAAAGAUCUCAGUGACUUCAGAACCUUAAAAAACCAACAUGGACACUAGAUCACACACACACGUUUAUAUAUAUAUAUACAUGUGUUAAAUAUAUAUAUAUAUAAGUGUUAAUGAAGCAUCCAUAAAGAACAUAAGAUCAUUUCCACAGUUUCACACAAAGUCUUUACUUGUGAAGAUCUUCAUGCUGUAAAUUACGGCCGGGCGAUACGUGAAAAAGUUUAUCAGGAUAUAUUUAUUUCCUAUCAGCUGAUAUCGAUCAAUAUCAGGAUCUAAAAAUCUAACAGUGUUUCUUGGUCUCAUGUCUUUUCCAACACAAUAAUCUCCUGCAUCUGUGAGGUCUUUGUGUCUCUUUGGCGUUUUGUCGUAAGGCGUCGCUCUAGAGAAAGCCGACUGAAUGGUCGUCUGUUUCAGGCGCCAUGGGCUCCUCGCUCCUCUCGGGGUUUGUAACCUUUUGCGUUGAGCCUUCAUGGUCAUUUCUGUCGGGGGUAGCACUCAUUUUCUUUGUUUCUCACCAACAGUGCUGUCGGCUUCACCUGUUAAAGUGCUAUGGUUGGGUGGAGCUGCUGUCUGCUACGACGCUGCAGUUGUAUCGUUGUUCUUAUCGUUUUUUCGCCCAACCCUAUUGUAAAUGCAGAGGGCGUUUUUACAAACCUGCUGCACACACACACACACACACACACACACACACACACACACAGUCAGGUGCAGCAGUGUUGUUGUUUUCAGACGGAGAGUCCAGGUAGGAGCGGCUGAAGGUGGAACUGAAAGACAGCAGAUGUUUCUGUGUCUGUGAGGACGCUCAUGUUGAUGCACAUACCUGAGGUUCUGCAGAGGGGAGGGGGGCGGAGAUCGGUCUGAAGGUCACUUUAAAUAAAAAGACUUCAGCAGGUAUGACAGGCAGGGCGUGCAGCUCACGAUAAAUGCAGCGCUCUCAUGCCAGCUCGCCAAAACUGAUUGAUUGACUUGUAAGAUGUCAGGGACAGGCCGGGGUGGGGGCAGGGUUAGGAGGAGGCAGGGUGAGAGAGGGAGGCAGGGUGAGAGAGGGAGGCAGGGCGAGAGAGGGAGGAAGGAUGACGGCGAGAAACAAUAUGGAAACCGUUGGAUGGAAGAUGACGGAAGAAAGCGUAUUUUUGUGUGGUUAUGAUGGCGGGCUGCUGGGAUUGAAAACACACACGGACACACACACACACACGGACACACACACACACACACAUGGACACACACACAGCUGGCCUGCUCUGGCCUGGUUCUGGUCAGUUGCCCGUGGCCAUGGCGGGCACAGGAGUCAGCUGUCAGCCUGUGACGGAUUGAUACAGACACCCCCCCAGCCCUCCGCCUCCCGCCCCAGACACUCCCAAACCUCCACCUCCAUCCCUCACUCCCUCCAGCGCCCCCGCCUCCUCCUCAUUGGCCGGUUCAUGCCUGGUGGGCAUGUUUGAGUGGAGACGUAUUGAGGGGGGAGCUGGGGGAGGAAGGGGGAGGUUGUGCCUCCAUCUUGAGUGUGGCGUGUAUUAGAACAUGCCCUCCUGUCACCCUCGCUCAGCCACUCUGCCGGCUUCAUAUUUGUUCGCCGUGGUCGCUGUGAGGCGGCGCUCUCUCUAUCACUUCAUCAGGUCAGCUGACAGCAGCCUGCUGGAGGUCUCUGUGAGCCUGAUGUCCUGUCCAAUCAGGAGCCCCCAUCUUCGUCCCUGCAGCCUUUUCACGCCCCUGUGGAUGAUCCUGCAGCAGCAUCUAGGAACAUGUAUGUCUAUAUUUCCAUCAGUGAGGUAAAAAAAAACGGUUUUAAAGGAGCAGUUCGCAGAUUUUUGGGUAAAGCUUUAGGGCUCAGAGGUUUUCUCUCUCACACAGAAAUCUCAGAUCAGACAUGAUCAUAAUCAUUAUCAUAUACACUCACCGGCCACUUUAUUAGGUACACCAUGCUAGUAACGGGUUGGACCCCCUUUUGCCUUCAGAACUGCCUCAAUUCUUCGUGGCAUAGAUUCAACAAGGUGCUGGAAGCAUUCCUCAGAGAGCUUGGUCCAUAUUGACAUGAUGGCAUCACACAGUUGCCGCAGAUUUGUCGGCUGCACAUCCAUGAUGCGAAUCUCCCGUUCCACCAAAUCCCAAAUAUGCUCUAUUGGAUUGAGAUCUGGUGACUGUGGAGGCCAUUUGAGUACAGUGAACUCAUUGUCAUGUUCAAGAAACCAGUCUGAGAUGAUUCCAGCUUUAUGACAUGGCGCAUUAUCCUGCUGAAAGUAGCCAUCAGAAGUUGGGUACAUUGUGGUCAUAAAGGGAUGGACAUGGUCAGCAACAAUACUCAGGUAGGCUGUGGCGUUGCAACGAUGCUCAAUUGGUACCAAGGGGCCCAAAGAGUGCCAAGAAAAUAUUCCCCACACCAUGACACCACCACCACCAGCCUGAACCGUUGAUACAAGGCAGGAUGGAUCCAUGCUUUCAUGUUGUUGACGCCAAAUUCUGACCCUACCAUCCGAAUGUCGCAGCAGAAAUCGAGACUCAUCAGACCAGGCAACGUUUUUCCAAUCUUCUAUUGUCCAAUUUCGAUGAGCUUGUGCAAAUUGUAGCCUCAGUUUCCUGUUCUUAGCUGAAAGGAGUGGCACCCGGCGUGGUCUUCUGCUGCUGUAGCACAUCUGCCUCAAAGUUCGACGUACUGUGCGUUCAGAGAUGCUCUUCUGCCUACCUUGGUUGUAACGGGUGGUUAUUUGAGUCACUGUUGCCUUUCUAUCAGCUCGAACCAGUCUGGCCAUUCUCCUCUGACCUCUGGCAUCAACAAGGCAUUUCCGCCCACAGAACUGCCGCUCACUGGAUAUUAUUUCUUUUUCGGACCAUUCUCUGUAAACCCUAGAGAUGGUUGUGCGUGAAAAUCCCAGUAGAUCAGCAGUUUCUGAAAUACUCAGACCAGCCCUUCUGGCACCAACAACCAUGCCACGUUCAAAGACCACGUGGUCUUUGUCGUGUCUGAACCUGGUUUUGGACUUUGAUGGUGUUUUCUUCUCCUCUGCUGUGAACGAUCAGUGAAGGAGUCGUGGUGCAUUCGAGGGAAAGCCGAAAAGUCAGAAAGCCGACUUCACUUCACCCACCAAUAACGCUAACAUAUGCUAGCAUGGAAGACCCCAAACCUGAGACCACUCCCCCUUUUUUCCCAUGAGGCCUGCUGAGCUGGUUGAUGAUCCCUGACCAGUUCCUGUCAGAUGUUUUGGUGGUCUACAUGUGACAGACAGGUACCGGCUAACGUGAACUCUGAUGGAGCUGGGAUAGAAAUGAGUGGACUGCUCCUUUAAGUACAGUUAUAGAGCGCCCCCUGCCCUCUGGUACAGGAACCUCGUUAAAGUAAAAAGUUUUCCUCCUAAACAAAAGUUGAACUCCAAACAUCACGUCUCACGCUGGAGUUCAGAUUUUCGUCUAAUUUCCUCCCAAACCUUCUCAGAUCUGAUCAGAUCUUCUGUCAGCGAGUUUCAGAUCCGCCUUAAAAGCUGAAACUAAAAUAACUGAUAGAUUGUUUUCCUCCAUUUUAGCUUCAGGCCAUAAUAAAAAACUACCUGGUUUAGUGUGAGAUAAAGAAGCUCAAACAUCAAUCUCCUCUGUCACAUAUCAACCAUCUCUCAACCCCCCAGCUUCUCAAACUUCAACUUUUCAUUAACCUUUGAUUUCGGUCACAGACCUGUCGUACCUCACACCACCAGCAGGGGUCUCUGUCAGGGGGCGGGACAAUUAAAAAAGUACGAAACAAGUACGAACAUAUCUGUGAUACGAUCGGAUUUAUCCGACCUCACUGUCAGGAGACAAAGUCGGGGGGGGGUUAGUGACGGGGGAGACUCUGUCGUCUCUCUCUCUCUCUCUCUCUCUCUCUCUCUCUCUCUCUCUCUCUCUCUCCCUCUCUCUCUCCCUCUCUUUCUCUCCCCCCCCCGUCCGGUGUGAAGUGUAAUUGAAGGAGCAGUCUUCACAUGGCCCACAGGCAUGGAGGGGACAUUGUGUGCGCUGUGGCGGUAAAUUGCUCUCCUUGCUCCUUGGAGCCUGUACCUCUCCUUCACUUCUCUCCUUCUCCUUCUCCUCCUCCUCCUCCU